AUUAACGUGACUUUUAAUUCAGUGCCAUUUGGUCGAACCGAAGAAUGAAAUACUUAUAGACAGCGAUUCAGCUCUUUUUUGGUCGUUUCUUUUAUUGGAUAGCUGAUCUCUGAUUGACCUCCAUUAUGCAAGAUGAAACUUUUUGUGGACAAACACCUGGGAUAUCCCGCUGGAGUACUCUCCGGUGUACCUCAGGCAGUCUACUUGAUCGUCUACUCUUCCUAGUUUACAUCAAUGACUUACCGGCCCUUUUGGACCCUGGUACCUCACUUAGUCUUUUUGCGGAUGACACCAAAUGCUACCGUACUAUCAGCUCUCCCUCUGACGCUGUCAAACUGUAGAGUGAUCUUGACGUUCUAUCAGAGUGGAGCCGAGCAUGGAAACUGCGCUAUAACAUCGACAAGUGCGAGGUCCUGCGGGUGACUCGCAAACGCAGCCCCAUCGAAACGAAUUAUUCGAUCGAUGGCCACGUACUUAAGCUGACUCCGGCUCAGAAAGACCUAGGAGUGGUGGUCGCCAGGGACCUCAAGUGGUCCGAGCAGUCCUCUAUUGCCGUUUCCAAGGGAUACCAAAUGCUGGGGUUCCUACGACGAAACGAUCUACGUGACUUCGAUACAGAUGCUAGAAGAUCUCUUUAUCUGUCAAUAGUUAGAUCAACAGUGGGAUACGCGAGCGAGGUGUGGGCACCUCAAGCAAUUACGGACAUGAGAUCAGUGGAGGCUCUGCAACGCCGUGCGACAAAA